rnacentral:tmRNA from 1 species
GGGGGCGCACCGGUUUCGACGGGGAUGCAGACAUCGCAGACAGCGGGCCGAGGCGCCGCGGGCCUCGUAAAAAGCGGCAAAAAAAUAAUCGGCAACGAUUACGAAUACGCUUACGCGGCUUAAUUGAGCCGCGCCGGAAUGUGCGAUAAUGCCUGACAAGCGCACAUUGCGGACGAGAUUUUCAGGCCGGCAUUCGGAGG